CCUACGGGAGGCAGCAGUGGGGAAUAUUGCACAAUGGGGGAAACCCUGAUGCAGCGACGCCGCGUGAGUGAAGAAGUAUUUCUGUACGUAAAGCUCUAUCAGCAGGGGAGAAAAUGACGGUACCUGACUAAGAAUCCCCGGCUACCUCCGUUCCAGCAGCCGCGGUCAUGCGGAGGAUGCCAGCGUUAUCCGGAUUUAUUGGGUUAAAGGGGUGCGCAGGCGGUCUGUUAAGUCAGCGGUCAAAGCCCGGGGCUAAACCCGGGCCCGCCGUUGAAACUGGCAGUCUCGAGUUGGAGAGAAGUAGGCGGAAUGCGCGGUGUAGCGGUGAAAUGCAUAGAUAUCGCGCAGAACUCCGAUUGCGAAGGCAGCAUGCCGGCUCCACACUGACGCUGAGGCACGAAAGCGUGGGUAUCGAACAGGAUUAGAUACCCUGGUAGUC
rnacentral:rRNA from 1 species